rnacentral:rRNA from 1 species
GACGAACGCUGGCGGCGUGCUUAACACAUGCAAGUCGAGCGGUAAGGCCCUUUCGGGGGUACACGAGCGGCGAACGGGUGAGCACACGUGGGUGACCUGCCUUUAGCUCUGGGAUAAGCCUGGGAAACCGGGUCUAAUACCGGAUAUGACUCCGCGGCGCAUGUUGUGGGGUGGAAAGCCUUGUGCGGCUGGAGAUGGGCCCGCGGCCUAUCAGCUUGUUGGUGGGGUGAUGGCCUACCAAGGCGACGACGGGUAGCCGGCCUGAGAGGGCGACCGGCCACACUGGGACUGAGACACGGCCCAGACUCCUACGGGAGGCAGCAGUGGGGAAUCUUGCGCAAUGGGCGAAAGCCUGACGCAGCGACGCCGCGUGAGGGAUGACGGCCUCGG